GAUGGAUGCUGGAUAUUCCUGCAGUUGUGUGGGAGUGUCGAAGCUAACGCGUUAAGUAUCCCGCCUGGGGAGUACGGACGCAAGGCUGAAACUCAAAGGAAUUGACGGGGGCCCGCACAAGCGGUGGAGCAUGUGGUUUAAUUCGACGCAACGCGAAGAACCUUACCUAGGCUUGAACCGGCGGUGGUAGAAACCCGAAAGGGGGACGAUUCCAGUUUACCGGAAAGCCGCCAGAGGUGCUGCAUGGCUGUCGUCAGCUCGUGUCGUGAGAUGUUGGGUUAAGUCCCGCAACGAGCGCAACCCUUGUCUUUAGUUGCCAGCGAGUCAUGUCGGGCACUCUAAGGAGACUGCCUCGGACAACGAGGAGGAAGGUGGGGAUGACGUCAAGUCAGCAUGGCCUUUAUGUCUAGAGCUACACACGUGCUACAAUGGACGGUACAGAGGGAUGCAAGCCCGCGAGGGGGAGCUAAUCCUUAAAACCGUUCUCAGUUCGGAUUGGAGGCUGCAAUUCGCCUCCAUGAAGUCGGAAUCGCUAGUAAU
rnacentral:rRNA from 1 species